rnacentral:rRNA from 1 species
UACGGAGGAGGCUAGCGUUGUUCGGAAUUACUGGGCGUAAAGCGCACGUAGGCGGACUGGAAAGUCAGGGGUGAAAUCCCGGGGCUCAACCCCGGAACUGCCUUUGAAACUCCCGGUCUUGAGGUCGAGAGAGGUGAGUGGAAUUCCGAGUGUAGAGGUGAAAUUCGUAGAUAUUCGGAGGAACACCAGUGGCGAAGGAGGCUCACGGGCUCUAUACUGACGCUGAGGUGCGAAAGCGUGGGGAGCAAACAGG